AAAGAUAAAUUCUUUGGCAUUUAAUUUAUUUGAAUUCUCCCAGCCGAAAAUAGUGCAUGCCAACAAAAGUCGAAAAACACGUAUGGCCGGGUUGUGGAUAUCUGAGGCCAAGUUUCCUUCGAAGGAAACAAUGUUUUGUCCUGUCAAAUUUCUCCACAGUUGGAAUGUCUCAGUUAACCAAUUGGAAUCUAUGGGUGUCUCACAAACAAC
rnacentral:lncRNA from 1 species